rnacentral:rRNA from 1 species
AUUGAACGCUGGCGGCAGGCCUAACACAUGCAAGUCGAGCGGAUGAAGGGAGCUUGCUCCUGGAUUCAGCGGCGGACGGGUGAGUAAUGCCUAGGAAUCUGCCUGGUAGUGGGGGAUAACGUCCGGAAACGGGCGCUAAUACCGCAUACGUCCUGAGGGAGAAAGUGGGGGAUCUUCGGACCUCACGCUAUCAGAUGAGCCUAGGUCGGAUUAGCUAGUUGGUGGGGUAAAGGCCUACCAAGGCGACGAUCCGUAACUGGUCUGAGAGGAUGAUCAGUCACACUGGAACUGAGACACAGUCCAGACUCCUACGGGAGGCAGCAGUGGGGAAUAUUGGACAAUGGGCGAAAGCCUGAUCAAGCCAUGCCGCGUGUGUGAAGAAGGUCUUCGGAUUGUAAAGCACUUUAAGUUGGGAGGAAGGGCAGUAAGUUAAUACCUUGCUGUUUUGACGUUACCAACAGAAUAAGCACCGGCUAACUUCGUG